rnacentral:rRNA from 1 species
UGGGGGGGGGGGGGCUUUACACAUGCAAGUCGAACGGGAUCCAUCAGGCUUUGCUUGGUGGUGAGAGUGGCGAACGGGUGAGUAAUGCGUGACCGACCUGCCCCAUACACCGGAAUAGCUCCUGGAAACGGGUGGUAAUGCCGGAUGCUCCGACUCCUCGCAUGGGGUGUCGGGAAAGAUUUCAUCGGUAUGGGAUGGGGUCGCGUCCUAUCAGGUAGUCGGCGGGGUAACGGCCCACCGAGCCUACGACGGGUAGCCGGCCUGAGAGGGCGACCGGCCACAUUGGGACUGAGAUACGGCCCAGACUCCUACGGGAGGCAGCAGUGGGGAAUAUUGCACAAUGGGCGCAAGCCUGAUGCAGCGACGCCGCGUGCGGGAUGACGGCCUUCGGGUUGUAAACCGCUUUUGAUCGGGAGCAAGCCUUCGGGUGAGUGUACCUUUCGAAUAAGCACCGGCUAACUACGUGCCAGCAGCCGCGGUAAUACGUAGGGUGCAAGCGUUAUCCGGAAUUAUUGGGCGUAAAGGGCUCGUAGGCGGUUCGUCGCGUCCGGUGUGAAAGUCCAUCGCUUAACGGUGGAUCUGCGCCGGGUACGGGCGGGCUGGAGUGCGGUAGGGGAGACUGGAAUUCCCGGUGUAACGGUGGAAUGUGUAGAUAUCGGGAAGAACACCAAUGGCGAAGGCAGGUCUCUGGGCCGUUACUGACGCUGAGGAGCGAAAGCGUGGGGAGCGAACAGGAUUAGAUACCCUGGUAGUCCACGCCGUAAACGGUGGAUGCUGGAUGUGGGGCCCGUUCCACGGGUUCCGUGUCGGAGCUAACGCGUUAAGCAUCCCGCCUGGGGAGUACGGCCGCAAGGCUAAAACUCAAAGAAAUUGACGGGGGCCCGCACAAGCGGCGGAGCAUGCGGAUUAAUUCGAUGCAACGCGAAGAACCUUACCUGGGCUUGACAUGUUCCCGACAGCGGUAGAGAUAUGGCCUCCCUUCGGGGCGGGUUCACAGGUGGUGCAUGGUCGUCGUCAGCUCGUGUCGUGAGAUGUUGGGUUAAGUCCCGCAACGAGCGCAACCCUCGCCCUGUGUUGCCAGCACGUCAUGGUGGGAACUCACGGGGGACCGCCGGGGUCAACUCGGAGGAAGGUGGGGAUGACGUCAGAUCAUCAUGCCCCUUACGUCCAGGGCUUCACGCAUGCUACAAUGGCCGGUACAACGGGAUGCGACACGGCGACGUGGAGCGGAUCCCUGAAAACCGGUCUCAGUUCGGAUUGGAGUCUGCAACCCGACUCCAUGAAGGCGGAGUCGCUAGUAAUCGCGGAUCAGCAACGCCGCGGUGAAUGCGUUCCCGGGCCUUGUACACACCGCCCGUCAAGUCAUGAAAGUGGGUAGCACCCGAAGCCGGUGGCCUAACCCUUUGUGGAUGGAGCCGUCUAAAGGUAGAUUUGGG